GUUAAACGUACGGGGGUUAAUAUCGCUAACCUGUGUAGUGCCGCAAUCCUGCUGCACUCGCCAACGAUCGAGAACGGCCAGUUUCGUUUUCACGCGUAAUGCAAUAUUUUUGAAAUGGGGAGUUUCGACACUUUCACGUGGAGUUUCUCAUGUGCGCGCGUUGCCGCAGCCUCGUGAUUCUGCGAUAUCUAAUCAGUUUUUUUAGGUUGAAAAAAUAUUUUAAUUCCUGCUGCAAUAGAAUCACCAUGCGCUGCAGUUCUUGCAUUACAAUAAUUGUAAACACGAUCGUCGAUCGGAGCGAAAACGGAAGCACGUGUAGUUAGCGGGUGUCAACACUUAUACGAGUUUACGUUAUUGACGAGUUAAAAAUGAAAGAAUAACGCGUCGACGCAAUUACGCAAUGAGUAGCCACAUUUAUAGGCACUUGCGCCUAUGAAUAGAACAGCGCGAAGAAAGAAAGAACAGGCAAGCGAAUCGGAGAGUGCAGUCGCGGCGAAUUUUCGCGCCGAGUAUCAUAAUAACGAUAAUCAUCGCAGCCUGCAGCAUCUAAUCGCUGAUUUUUCACAAUCGAUCAUAAUAUCGCGCUAAUCCGCGGCGUCGAAUAAAUUAAUAGCCUGCGCGCGUGUGUGUGUGUAGCACGCGGUGAUGUAAGCGCGGCAAUAGUAAACGGUGUGUGUAUACGCGGCCAAGGACGUUCGGAAUACGCUGGAAUUCGUAUGCCAGUAAAAUAACCGACGAGUCAUUUCGUGGGGCGCUACAAAGAGACAAUAUUUACAAUCGCGCGCGAAAUUGUUAUCUGUAUCCCCGAAUGUUGCGACCGACUGCGUCUGCGCGGGUAUAUAUUAUGUGGAAGAAAUAUCAUGAGGGAAAAUGAGGUAAACAAGAGGUAGGCGCUCGUAAAUCUCCUCUCCGCGCGAUAUGUGCAGUACGUCUCAUUUGUACUUCACUCUCGCGGCCUGGCCGUUGUAACAAAUGGUUACUGAUGCAGAAACGAGUAUUACGAGCCGUACACGUGUGCAUGCGUGAACACUGCCGCUGCUGCCGCUGCUCUGUGUCGUAACAGACUUGUGGAAUAUAUAGUCUGUACUAAACACGGAUUGCAUUUUUUCUUCGUGCUCGAAGGGCUGUUCUGUAAUUAGGCAAGCUGUGUACAAACAGCCGAGAUGUUUAUUUUGUCGCCAGUUAUUCGAGAUACAUUUUCAAUAACAAUAAAGUAUAGUUGUAUUAUCAAGUCGCGGCGGAUUAACAGGUUAUUUCGAGUGUGUGUGUGUGUGUGUGUGUAUAUGUGUGCGUGUGUGUGUGUGUGAAACGUAAAUAUUCUACGUUCACCGUAGGCGACGAAAGCUGUUAUUGUUGGCUUACGUUUAUUUUUGGUAUGUCUGAAGCGGUUUGAUAUGUUCAUGCGGCCCUUUUCCGUGCGCUGAAAUGCUUGGGAAGGCAAUUACUGAUAGACAAUCAGCUCUGCAUAUAGUGUACAAUUUUUCGCAAACCAAUUGUUCUCACAUCAUUAUUUUUAUGUAUUGUAGUAAAAAUCGUCGUUGAAUAGAAUGUGUACGCGUGCAGUAUGCGCGUCAUAAGAUUUUAUUAUUUCAUCCACGUACUUAAUCGUCGAUGAUGAAAUAAUUGAAGCGUGUUGAUCUAGGAACGCGUCGUCGAGUUUCAACUGCCAAGUUGUAUAAUACAAAACAUUCUGGACUUAUACGCUCUCAAAUAAAGCUUGGCGCCAUCUCUUGCCAAGUCAAUGAAUUCUCACAAGAGCACCUUAACUCUUUCCAUCUGUAAUCGUUAAUACCGUUUGAUGAACAAAUAGAAAUAUACUCAUCUGCACAUGAUUGUUAAAUUAUUUUUCAGAGUUCCGGGUUUUAUUUUUUGUAAGGUAAGUAAUGCACAUUUUAUCAGAAAAAGCACUGCCAAUUUCUUGGCACCAUGCAUGAACAUAUAUUACGCAAUAUUGCCAUUUUUACUUACUUUUGUGAUUUUUCUUUUGCCCGUAUACUCAAUGACAGUCCCUUAUACAAGGUUAAAAUACUACUUGGCGCGGUAAAGCCCUUUAUUUUAACCCUUUAUUUUACAGCAAUCAAAACAAAAAGUUACGUCCCAUGCAUCUAGCGAUCGAUCGCAGAAUCAGGGUAUAAAUUCUGCGCGUACCAGCAGUACAUUUUCUACGUGUCUGCGCUCAGGCAGUCUCGUGCGAAAUUGCUCCCUUUGCCCCUACUUCUCAAAUCAGCAAUUAAGCAAAAAAAAAAAAAACGGCAGGAUUUACCUCCAACCCCCAUAAGUGAGAUGCAAAGCAAACCAACUCGAACGCCAGCGCCGUGCGUAUGGGGCAACAAACAGUGAACUAGUGUAGAAUGUAGGGCGUUCACUUUGCUCCACUGCAAGCGUAGCGCGAACGGUGAACCUGUUGUGUGCGUAUACAUAAUGUGCAGCCCGCGCAAGCAGCCCUCAUAGCUAUAUAAUACCCAUGUGUAUAGAGCAGGCAAUGCGCAGCCGCACCGACCGCUGUCCACUUGCGGCCGGCUCUGGGUUAGUGUAGUCCUUUUCCCGGCGCAAAACGAAAAUCGACUCCCUUGGCGCGCUUGCGAGCUCAAGCGAGCACACGCGAGCACCAACCCGAGGGAGAAAGCCGCGCUCAUUAGGCUUCGUUGUUGCUUGCGACAGUCGGUUGAAUUUUUUUCCCGGGUCUCGCUUCAAUCAAUUGAUCACGAUUUAACUUACAUGAGACAACUAGAUCUGUGCGGGGUAGUACAGUGCCUUCCAAAAUUCCGAAAGUCAGACCGAAAAACUCCAUCCCGCACGAGAAAAGAUAUGCGCUCGUGCGUGAAAGAUGCGUUCCAAUGCCCGGCGAUACGACAAAAUUUCACGAUUUCAGGGAUGGAGAAACCCGAAUCUUCGAUGGGAGAUGACAGCCGCGUGGACCUCGAGGAUAGGGAUCCCCACCGUUUGAAUCAACAUUUACAGGUGAUAUGGGAGGAAGUGGUCGGCGAGCCGGACGGGAUUCGCAGUCCGGAAUGCGCCUGGCGCCUGAGCGGUCACUGCUUCCGGCUGUCGCGCGGCUGCUGCUACGUCCUGCUCUCGGUCCUCGUGGCGCCAAUCAUCGCUCUCUGUCUCGGCCUUACCUUUGCGUGCCUUGCCUUCGAGGGAGACUCUAUAUAUGUGACGUGCGCAGGGCUGUGCUUCAACGCCGCGACCGAGUUCCGACAACCGUACUACCUUUGGCUUACGCGUACCAUUGUCGCCAGGAGCACACAAGUGGGGUCUUUAGAUGUCUGCUGGCUUUUCAGGAACGUCCAUACUUUACUAUCGUUCAAAUCAGCUAACCCAACGCCACGAUUUAUCGUAAAAAUGUACUCAUGCUGAUUUUGAAAUAUUCAGAAGCGGCUUUUUUCAACGGCGUUCGUCCUGAGAGCCGCGAGAGCCGAGAAACUAUUUCGUGCGUGUAGGCAUGGCUGACAUGAAUAAUUCUAUUUCAGCCUCGAGAAAACUUCGUUUGAAAUAGCUAUAUAGUUUCAUACUCAAAAAAUAGACUCCGUGCACCAAUCACCAUUAAUCACAUAUGGUGCAUCGGUCCGUGCUUGCGUGUCUGGCGAAUAACGUGCUCGGCUACGAGGAACUUCUGUACAGCGCUCGUCCAAUCUGUCGUGCGCCCCUGUACCGACUCACUGG